rnacentral:rRNA from 1 species
ACGACGCUGGCGGCGUGCCUAAUACAUGCAAGUCGAACGGUCUUUCUAUGGAAGCUUGCUUCCACUGAGAAGAUAGUGGCGAACGGGUGAGUAACACGUGGGUAACCUGCCCAUAAGAGGGGGAUAACAUCCGGAAACGGGUGCUAAUACCGCAUAGUUUUCUUGAUCGCAUGAUUGAGAAAGGAAAGAUGGCCUUUGUGCUGUCGCUUAUGGAUGGACCCGCGGCGUAUUAGUUAGUUGGUGAGGUAACGGCUCACCAAGACGAUGAUACGUAGCCGACCUGAGAGGGUGAUCGGCCACAUUGGGACUGAGACACGGCCCAAACUCCUACGGGAGGCAGCAGUAGGGAAUCUUCCGCAAUGGACGAAAGUCUGACGGAGCAACGCCGCGUGAGUGAAGAAAGGUUUUCGGAUCGUAAAACUCUGUUGUCAGAGAAGAACAAGUUGGAGAGUAACUGCUCCAGCCUUGACGGUAUCUGACCAGAAAGCCACGGCUAACUACGUGCCAGCCGCCGC